AGGGUGGAUGGGGAGGAUGUUGUUUCUCACAUCCUAGCGGGGCUUGAAGAAGAAUUCGACCCGGUAGUCUCUGCCAUGUGCUCCCGCGUGGAGUCGGUCACUGUACCGGAGCUCUACUCGCAGCUCCUUAGCUUUGAUA
rfam:Hordeum vulgare subsp. vulgare, WGS project CAJW01000000 data, contig: morex_contig_1591870